rnacentral:rRNA from 1 species
UACGUAGGGGGCAAGCGUUGUCCGGAAUCAUUGGGCGUAAAGCGCGCGUAGGCGGCCCUGUAAGUCCGCUGUAAAAGUCAGAGGCUCAACCUUUGAAUGCCGCUGGAAACUGUCUGGCUUGAGUCCGGAAUGGGCGAGUGGAAUUCCUGGUGUAGCGGUGAAAUGCGCAGAUAUCAGGAGGAACACCAAUGGCGAAGGCAGCUCGCUGGAACGGUACUGACGCUGAGGCGCGAAAGCGUGGGGAGCAAACAGG